GACGAACGCUGGCGGCGUGCCUAAUACAUGCAAGUCGAGCGAAGUUUUUCUGGUGCUUGCACUAGAAAAACUUAGCGGCGAACGGGUGAGUAACACGUAAAGAACCUGCCUCAUAGACUGGGACAACUAUUGGAAACGAUAGCUAAUACCGGAUAACAGUAUUUCUCGCAUGAGAGAUAUUUAAAAGUUGGUUAUGCUAACACUAUGAGAUGGCUUUGCGGUGCAUUAGCUAGUUGGUGGGGUAAAGGCCCACCAAGGCGACGAUGCAUAGCCGACCUGAGAGGGUGAUCGGCCACACUGGGACUGAGACACGGCCCAGACUCCUACGGGAGGCAGCAGUAGGGAAUCUUCCGCAAUGGGCGAAAGCCUGACGGAGCAACGCCGCGUGAGUGAAGAAGGAUUUCGGUUCAUAAAGCUCUGUUGUUAGGGAAGAAUGGAUAUGUAGUAACUAUACAUGUAAGAGACGGUACCUAACCAGAAAGCCACGGCUAACUACGUG
rnacentral:rRNA from 1 species